rnacentral:tRNA from 5 species
CGGGGUGUAGCUUAGCCUGGUAGAGCGCCUGGUUUGGGACCAGGAGGUCGAAGGUUCGAAUCCUUUCACCCCGACCA